rnacentral:rRNA from 1 species
GAUGAACGCUGGCGGCGUGCCUAAUACAUGCAAGUCGAGCGAACAGACGAGGAGCUUGCUCCUCUGACGUUAGCGGCGGACGGGUGAGUAACACGUGGAUAACCUACCUAUAAGACUGGGAUAACUUCGGGAAACCGGAGCUAAUACCGGAUAACAUGUUGAACCGCAUGGUUCAACAGUGAAAGACGGUUUUGCUGUCACUUAUAGAUGGAUCCGCGCCGCAUUAGCUAGUUGGUAAGGUAACGGCUUACCAAGGCAACGAUGCGUAGCCGACCUGAGAGGGUGAUCGGCCACACUGGAACUGAGACACGGUCCAGACUCCUACGGGAGGCAGCAGUAGGAAAUCUUCCGCAAUGGGCGAAAGCCUGACGGAGCAACGCCGCGUGAGUGAAGAAGGUCUUCGGAUCGUAAAACUCUGUUAUUAGGGAAGAACAAAUGUGUAAGUAACUAUGCACGUCUUGACGGUACCUAAUCAGAAAGCCACGGCUAACUACGUG